rnacentral:rRNA from 1 species
CAGCAGCCGCGGUAAUACGUAGGUGGCAAGCGUUGUCCGGAAUUAUUGGGCGUAAAGGGCUCGCAGGCGGUUUCUUAAGUCUGAUGUGAAAGCCCCCGGCUCAACCGGGGAGGGUCAUUGGAAACUGGGGAACUUGAGUGCAGAAGAGGAGAGUGGAAUUCCACGUGUAGCGGUGAAAUGCGUAGAGAUGUGGAGGGACACCAGUGGCGAAGGCGACUCUCUGGUCUGUAACUGACGCUGAGGAGCGAAAGCGUGGGGAGCGAACAGGAUUAGAUACCCUGGUAGUCCACGCCGUAAACGAUGAGUGCUAAGUGUUAGGGGGUUUCCGCCCCUUAGUGCUGCAGCUAACGCAUUAAGCACUCCGCCUGGGGAGUACGGUCGCAAGACUGAAACUCAAAGGAAUUGAGGG